AGAGACUUAGGAUAAUAUAAACCAAGGACCUUCAAAGCCCUAAAUAGGGAUUACAACCCCUAGCCUCUG
rnacentral:tRNA from 1 species